CCGUCUGCUUCGGUCCGUGCGAUCUUUCUACCGCGCCGGCAUGUGGGGCCUACGUGCGAGCAGCUCCUGUCCCCCAUCCUCGCCCUCGUAGAUUUCUGGGAUCCACGCCACCAUCACCUUGCGAACUUCCUCGAAUCGAUGCUGCUCGGAGCAGCUCCUGUCCCCAAUCCUCGCCCUCGCGGAUUUCUCGAAUCCACACCGCCAUCACCUCACGGCGCCAUCAACUUCCUCGGAUCGAUGUCGUAGCUCCUGUCCCCAAUCCUCGCCCUCGCGGAUUUCUCGCAUCCACGCCGCCAUCACCUCACGACGCCAUCCACUUCCUCAGAUCGAUGCCGCUCGGAAGACGACGCAUAAGGUAUUCAGCUAGAUUUGCUCUAUCUAAAUCAAAAGCAAGCAAUAAGGUAUUUAGCUUAGACCUCGCCGGCAAAGCCCCAUGAUGGGUCCGUUGGGACAGGGCCCCUCGCGAGGAGGGUGCCCUGCACGGGCGUGUCGCCCUUGGGCACCUGGUAGAAGGGGUUCAUACGUUUGCGGCGUGCCCAGUAGGGACCACGAGCCGCUCGUCGACGCACGUAGCCAGAGGCGGAGCAGCUACGGUGGCCUGUAGCCGUUGUUCUUUGUUGGUGUGGCCGCCGGACUUCAGCAGCAAUGUUACCGCGCCGGCCUCCGCCUCCACGGCAAGGCCCAACAAGGUGGACAUCCUCGGCUUCACCUUCAAUAGCUCUGUGCUCUGGGACCCUGAACGUUGGGGUCACUCCAGACCAACAAGCCCUAGCGUACAGCUCCCCGUGUUGUAGUGUGCCUGGAGAAAGAAAGUACGAAUCUUCUUCUUGGCAGGGUGACACUGAUUCUGGCGGACGGUCGACGAGGCAUCAAGGUGGAUAAUCUGCGGGAGAAAGUUCGUACUGCAUCUGUUCGACGUUUUGCCUCUACGAAAGGUUUGGUUUUAAAGUUUUUCUGUUUGGGUGAUUUAGUCAUUUUGGGUAAAAGAUCUCUAGAGAUUAGGCACUUACCGUUACAGUGCUUAGUAGCUAAGUCUGCUAUCACUGUGAGAUAAUGUGUGAUCAAUCAUGGCCACAAGAUAAUCCUAAGGAUACAAAAGGACUUCCAAGAAGACACUCAGCACCAUACCUUCUGACGGCAACGGAAGAUGUUGUGUGUAGUGUAUUCAUAUUUGAAUCAUUCAGGUUCAGAUAGAAAAGAUUGUUUAUGGAGUCUUUUAGUCCUCGACAGAUGAUGGGGUGAUUUUAUUGCAAUUGACUAAGAUAACCAAGUAACUGGACUAUGUAAUUUGUUUUUUCUUCUCCAUCCUAAAUGACAAAACCACAUAUAUCUUUUUUUCUACUUUCUUCAGUAAAAACUGAAGGUAUUACUCAGAAGUUUGUCCUAGAUUGCUUUUUAAUUUUGGAGGUUCUUACUUAACUCGUGAUCCUGUGACGCAUGUGUGCUACCAGGUUAUUGUUAGCAACACAAUUAGUCUAUUUUUGGAAAAUCACGUCAUAGGGGAUGUGGCCACAGCCCUGCACCCAGGAUAUAGGUCAGUUUUUUUUGCCUGACUAUCUAGAUUAUAAGCAGAAUACUGCUGAUGCAAAUUUUAUCAAGUUCCACACAUGUUUAUGAUAAAAAAACAUAGUUAUUUUUUUUAAACCGUAGUUCUAAGCAACUAAACUAAAUAUACCCAGUUUAAGCAGGGGAGCGUCGCAAGCAGCCGGUACUCUGGUCUCUAACAGCGGCAGAGUUGAGGCGUCGCUAUUAGAGAUAUACAUAGAUAUGUAUAUAUAUAUAUAUAUAUAUAUAUAUAUAUAUAUAUACCAAAUAGUCGCACGCAUGGAGUUAGCUCCAUGGGGCCAUGGGCAAUCCGCCACAUCAGACCACGCUGUAGUGGGCAGCAUCCCCCAGUUGGCCAACCCCUGGCCGACUAGAGCCAGCAGCAAGUGCUAGGUAGAGGCAGGUAGAAGGGAGUACUGCAGCAGGCCGAUAGCCUAGCAGAAUAUGUGCUAUUGGGAAAGAGUUAUUUGGAGUUUAUGAUAUUUUUCACAGCACAAGUGACCAUACUUUCUGUGAAAGAGGCUCAAUAGCAAAGAUCACUCGUCGCUUACGACUUUUGUGCCUCUUGUGCUGAUACAAGAGAUUGCAACAAUAAUGAAAGUUACUGAGCAAGGGGCGGGGGUGCAUUUUCUUGAUCAUGAGGAUAAUAGCAGUAGUGAUGGUGGCAAUGGAUUAAAGGGGAUAGGGACUCUAGAUGAAAUAACUCAGUGCAGGGGCUUUCAUUUUUGUCUUCUAUAUGGUGCAUCAGUUGUAGGCUCAAGAAGGUGAACAACAGUUUGCAAAAUCCAAUCAUAAACUGAAUUAGCAACGUGUCAUCUUCAGCGUAACUAUUUUAAUGCUCAUGUAGUUGCUCGAUUUCCAGUCAUUUGUGUUAAUUUUGUAAGCUUGUGACGCUGCGCUCUUUGUGACUAUGUUAAUUUCACAAACUUUGCUUUUUAAA